UGGGGAAUAUUGGGCAAUGGGCGCAAGCCUGACCCAGCAACGCCGCGUGAGGGAAGAAGGUCUUCGGAUUGUAAACCUCUGUCCUUGGGGACGAAAAAAAUGACGGUACCCAAGGAGGAAGCUCCGGCUAACUACGUGCCAGCAGCCGCGGUAAUACGUAGGGAGCAAGCGUUGUCCGGAAUUAUUGGGCGUAAAGGGUGCGUAGGCGGCAUGGCAAGUCAGAUGUGAAAUCCCCGGGCUUAACUCGGGGGGUGCAUUUGAAACUGCCAAGCUUGAGUACAGGGGAGGAAAGCGGAAUUCCUAGUGUAGCGGUGAAAUGCGUAGAUAUUAGGAGGAACACCAGUGGCGAAGGCGGCUUUCUGGACUGUAACUGACGCUGAGGCACGAAAGCGUGGGGAGCAAACA
rnacentral:rRNA from 1 species